rnacentral:misc_RNA from 1 species
ACUACCGGGGUAUCUAAUCUGUUUGCUCCCCACGCUUUCGUGCAUGAGCGUCAGUGUUAUCAGAGGCUGCCUUCGCCAUCGGUGUUCCUCCGCAUAUCUACGCAUUCCUGCUACACGCGGAAUUCCACCUCCUCUGACACACUCUAGCUCGGUAGUUAAAAAUGCAGUUCCAAGUUAAGCUCUGGGAUUUCCAUCUUUCUUUCCGAACCGCCUGCACGCUUUACGCCGUAAUUCCGAUUAACGCUUGCACCCUACGUAUUACACGGCUGCGGCACGUAGUUAGCGGUGCCUUCUGCAGGUACCGCUUCUGUGCAGGGUAUUAUCCGUGCCGUUUCUUUCCUGCCAAAGUGCUUUACAACCCGAAGGCCUUCAUCGCACACGCGGGAUGGCUGGAUCGGGGUUUAUU